UUUCGCAAAAGGAAGUCAGGAUCACCGAGUUAGAGACACAGUACAGGGAGAUGGCCAUCUACAUGCGAACUCUUGGGGCUCAGAUGGGAGCACCUCCGCCACCAAACUUGUACGUUCCACCCGCUUUAGGUGGACCUAGCCCACUUCACUCCCAGGGUUCUACUCAAGCGCCCAAUGAGCAAAGUCCUCAAGACGGUGGGUGGAGCGACCAUGUCAAUCCGUACCAACCUCCAGGCGAUUCAUGGGGCAGACGAGAUGGAUUCGGUUGGUGAACUUGUAGUUUGUUCAUGGAAUUUGUCGUUUUAUCGGACGUGUUGUUGAACUUGUGGUUUCCUCAGACUUGUGAUGGACUUGGUGAUGAACAUGUGUUUAUGUAUGUGACAUGUACGUUAUAUGUAUGUGAGAGAUUUGGUAUAUCGUGGUUA